rnacentral:misc_RNA from 1 species
UCCUAAAUUUUUCUUCUCUUUUCUGAGCACAUAAUUAGCGUGGCAUUAGCACAUGAAAAACAAAGCACUAUACACAUCAAAUUUUAGGAAAACUAUAUAUACAGGCACCAGAAAUUUGGGUAUAGUUAAGGUUUCAUGUUCUUCAUUCACACUCAUGGAACAAUAGCACUAUCAUUAGCAUCUGCUUACUUGAAGGAUACAAGAGUGUAGGCUAUUCAAAUGUCAUUGACCUAAUCUCAAGUAGGGGUGUGCAAACGGUCGG